UCAUUACAAUGCCAUAAAAAAUUAUCUAUAAAUCUGUUCAAAAUAAUAUGGACUUUAAAUGCUUUAUUAUUAACGUGAAAAGAAAAUUUCGAUCUUUACAAAGGAAUUUAGUUGAAUAUUAUUUAAUAAAAAAAUAGGUUGGAUUGUUCCCAUGUAAAUACUGUGUAAAUAUUCGAUCGAGCCUGACAUGUGUUUGCGAAUGAAAUUGUUCGUUACAGAUUAGAACUUGAUUCCAAGGUUUAUAUUUAUAAGUUUCCACUCUGAUUUUUAUAUAAAUUCUAAUAGUCAUAAUCAGCAAGAGCGCAACAAAUAAUGUCGACGAUGAAAGGUUCACUCAGUAAAUGGACAAAUGUUAAUAGAUGGCAAUAUCAGUGGUUUGUUUUAGAUGUCAGAUAAUGGUAAUUUAUUAUCAUAUUAUAUUGUGAAUAUCGUUUAAAAUUUAUAUAAAAUCUAUAAAAUAUAUUAGUAUUCUUUAUAAGUUACACCCUUCGUUAUAAAUUCGCGGGCUUUUUAAAUAAUUUAAUUAGGUUUUAUGCGUGGUGCUCGUGGAAGAUGUGGAUGAUAGAGGUACUGAUGAUGAAAAUGACAAUACAUUUACAAUAACUACAUCAUCAUACAAAGAUGAUCCGAAAACUUUUCAUUUUCAAAUACGUAAUGAUGAAGAACGUAAACGUUGGAUCCAUGCUCUAGAAGAUACAAUACUGCAUUACUCGCAUGCAGUAUGAUUACAAACACAUCAUUUUAUUUUUUUCUAUAUGUUAUUUCAUACAGGUAUAUAGAAAAAUUAUAUAUGAAAUUCAAUGAUGAGAUCCAAAAAUAUCACCACCCAAACAAGAUUUCAAUCAUGAAAUGGCAAAAGCAGAUGCUUAUCUUCAAGUGUUAAUUGAUCAAAUAAAAUUAAUUGAAACAAAAUAGGAAAGUAUAGAGACAGAAAAUGAAGAAAAGCAAGAAAGUUAUGCAGUAGUUUUGACACAAGCAAAUGCAAUGCUGAAUUCUGUUAAGUAUAUCAUCGUCCAAUUACAAAUUGCAAAGGUAUUGUAGAUAUUAUAUAUUUCAUUCUUUUAAAGCCAACUUUUCAUUCUCUUGCGAAUAAUUUCAGAACAUAGUUAUUCCUGUUAAUGGUAUAUAUAGAGGACCUACUGAUACAAUGAAUGGUACACCACCUAUGAAUUAUGAUAUUUAUUUGAUUAUUUUCAUGUAAAUUGUUCAUUUUGUUGUAAUUGUGUAUUGUGUUGUUGAUUGUGUGUUGUAAUUUUUCGAAUAUUGAUUUAUGAAAUAUUUAUAGUUGCAGUUAUAGAAUCAACAGUGCAAAUUGAUAUUGAAUUGGAUUCAAAAUAUACAGAAUCAAGAAUACCUAAUUUAUCCAAUGAUAAUAGAGAUAUUCCAGUAUUUCAAUUUUUAUAUUCCUUAUCGAAUGAAGAUGAAGAUUAUUGAUGCUGCUGAUGAAUUGUCAUCUCCCUUGACAGCACAAAAUCAUAUCAUACUAUAAAUGAUGAAGUGAUCGUUUUCAAUCAAUUAGAGAAAUUGCUGGAGAUAUGCGUAAACAAUCUCCAUUAUUACCUAUAAAGGGAGAUGGUUCUGUAGACUAUGAUGUGGAUUCCAUGGAAAUUCAUGGAUCAAUUGUAACAUCUUCUGUCACAAGUAAAAAUUGAUAUGGGUUUAAUCAAAGUUGCAUUGUUUACCUUUAUUUUGGAACGUAGAUUGCUUCUUGAAAUGUAUGCAAAUUAUUUUACUCAUCCUGAUCAAUUUGUAAGAGUGGAGACCCAAGCUUCAACACGUGGAGUUUGGUGCAUUUAGAAACUCAUGAGCUGAUGGUGACUCUCUUCUAAAAUUCACGUUCUGGGAAUGAUCUUCUAAUCGAAAUUUUGAGCAAUAAAACGAAGUCCAUGGUAGAACUUUUAAUCGUGGCAAACACUCAGGGCUGUGUCCUCCAAUGCAUUCACGAGUUUUUUUUUCUCUAUCCUAUCCGUACUCGUAUGUAAAAUCUUCGAUGAUAAAUCAAGUUGUCGGCGAUACAUUGGACCUGCGCCGAUAUAUCGAAUUCUCGACGAGCAAUCACCGGCAGAUGAAGAAAAAUAAAGAAGGAAAAGAAGGGAAGGAGAGAAAAA